AAGGCUAGAUCUAUAAAUUGUGAGAUCCCCCUCGGGCAGCAGACAGUCAAACCUGACAGCUGAUAGGUGCAGAAGAACCAGUCGCUGAAUAGGCAUCUGUAAUUUGAAGAAGUUGUUCUUUCAUCAACUGAGAUUCACAAAGAUGAGCCGCCCACUAAGCGUCAAUGUUGCGAGACAGUUGCUCCAGCGUCAGAUGCACGUCCUCAGAACUGUGUCCAAUGACGUCAAAGGGAGGGAGGAGCGACUGCAGGGUAUGCAGGACAGAGUGGAGACCCUGGAGAUCAGAAGGAGACUGCAGGAUAACCGCAUGACCCACAGACAGCCCACCAAACGACGUGCUACUGAUCGUCAUCAAUGACAGCUGUGUCAUCACGGACACGUCUAAAGAUAGCAUCAACACAUCAUGAUGAUCCAUGUAUUUAUUAUGUCUUCUGAUUGGGGUUAUUCCACUUGUACACAUACAUGGAGGUGAUACAGAUCAUCAGACGGUUUCAGACCUGAGUUACAGCAAUCAUCUCCUUCGAUUUUCUCAUCAUAAUACGGUUUUGGCAUUCCAAUGUUCCAUUUCCUUAUGUAAUUAUUUUUGUAAAUUAUUGAAUGAUCUUUAUUUGAACUUUAUUAUACUAGAAUGCCCUGUCGUAGCAGCAUGCGAUAUUUGUGUUUAACAUGUUCAAUUGAUGAUCUUAUCUAUACUUGAUAUCACUUUUAUGAUGAUUGAUAUGUGAAUUAUUUGAUGUAUAUUGAUGUGUAUUUGAGAUAACAGUAACAUAUAUUUCUGAUUCAAAGGUAUAUACGAGUACUUGUAUAAAAAUUAUACAACGUAGUACAACUAAUACUAUAUCCUACAAGAGCUGCUACGACAAAAAGGCGUGCAUUGGAACACAGUCGAUAAUUUACAAAGUCGUAGUGAGCAAAUCCAAAGACGAGUGGUACAACUAAUACUACAUGCCACUCGAGCUGCUAAGGAAAGGGGCUUACAUUGGAACGUAGUGAACAAAUACAAAGACAAUUUAAAAGUUAUUGUAGAGUUUUUGACUCAAAAUGGUAGAUAUUCAAGAUAUAUAGAUUGUAUGUAUUCAAGAUAUGUUAAUUCCAAUAAAACAAGAUUUUGAAAGAUG